AUUGAACGCUGGCGGCAGGCCUAACACAUGCAAGUCGAACGAGUGGCGGACGGGUGAGUAAUGUCUGGGAAACUGCCUGAUGGAGGGGGAUAACUACUGGAAACGGUAGCUAAUACCGCAUACCAUCGGAUGUACCCAUAUGGGAUUAGCUAGUUGGUGGGGUAACGGCUAACCUAGGCGACGAUCUCUAGCUGGUCUGAGAGGAUGACCAGCCACACUGGAACGGAGACACGGUCCAGACUCCUACGGGAGGCAGCAGUGGGGAAUAUUGCACAAUGGGCGCAAGCCUGAUGCAGCCAUGCCGCGUGUAUGAAGAAGGCCUUAGGGUUGUAAAGUACUUUCAGCGGGGAGGCGUUACCCGCAGAAGAAGCACCGGCUAACUCCGUGCCAGCAGCCGCGGUAAUAC
rnacentral:rRNA from 1 species